AGAGCAAACCGCUCUAUCGCUCUUUUAGUAAUAGAAGGGAGGAAAGUCCGGGCAACACAGAGCGCCGUACCUUAGAGAAACUGAGGGCAUACUUCAGGAAUGGAGUAUGACAGAAAGUGCAGCAGAAAGUAAACCGUCAUGUCCUAGAUAUGAUAAGGGUGAAACGGUGAGGUAAGAGCUCACCAGUAAUGUCAGUAAUGCAUUAGCUGGGUAAACCUUGCGGGUUGAAAAGUCAAAUAUACCGAGGCUUGAGGGCUGCUCGCCUGAUCUCGGAGGGUAGACCGAUUAGAUAAAUGAUAGAGAAUUGUUUCGGCAAUUACAGAACCCGGCUUAUAGGUUUGUAUUAUUA
rnacentral:RNase_P_RNA from 1 species